rnacentral:ribozyme from 14 species
AAAUAAUGAUAAUAAUAAUAAUAAUUAAUUAGCAGGGAAUAAACAUGUUUAUUUUUCUUUUUUCAAUUCUUCUGGUAUUAUUCUU